UUAAGUUAUUAAGGGCGCACGGUGGAUGCCUUGGCACUAGAAGCCGAUGAAGGACGUUACUAACAACGAUAUGCUUUGGGGAGCUGUAAGUAAGCUUUGAUCCAGAGAUUUCCGAAUGGGGAAACCCAGCAUGAGUUAUGUCAUGUUAUCGAUAUGUGAAUACAUAGCAUAUCAGAAGGCACACCCGGAGAACUGAAACAUCUUAGUACCCGGAGGAAGAGAAAGAAAAUUCGAUUCCCUUAGUAGCGGCGAGCGAAACGGGAAGAGCCCAAACCAAAAAGCUUGCUUGUUGGGGUUGUAGGACACUCUAUACGGAGUUACAAAGGACGACAUUAGACGAAUCAUCUGGAAAGAUGAAUCAAAGAAGGUAAUAAUCCUGUAGUCGAAAAUGUUGUCUCUCUUGAGUGGAUCCUGAGUACGACGGAGCACGUGAAAUUCCGUCGGAAUCUGGGAGGACCAUCUCCUAAGGCUAAAUACUCUCUAGUGACCGAUAGUGAACCAGUACCGUGAGGGAAAGGUGAAAAGCACCCCGGAAGGGGAGUGAAAUAGAACCUGAAACCGUGUGCUUACAAGUAGUCAGAGCCCGUUAAUGGGUGAUGGCGUGCCUUUUGUAGAAUGAACCGGCGAGUUACGAUUUGAUGCAAGGUUAAGCAGUAAAUGUGGAGCCGUAGCGAAAGCGAGUCUGAAUAGGGCGUUUAGUAUUUGGUCGUAGACCCGAAACCAGGUGAUCUACCCUUGGUCAGGUUGAAGUUCAGGUAACACUGAAUGGAGGACCGAACCGACUUACGUUGAAAAGUGAGCGGAUGAACUGAGGGUAGCGGAGAAAUUCCAAUCGAACCUGGAGAUAGCUGGUUCUCUCCGAAAUAGCUUUAGGGCUAGCCUCAAGUGAUGAUUAUUGGAGGUAGAGCACUGUUUGGACGAGGGGCCCCUCUCGGGUUACCGAAUUCAGACAAACUCCGAAUGCCAAUUAAUUUAACUUGGGAGUCAGAACAUGGGUGAUAAGGUCCGUGUUCGAAAGGGAAACAGCCCAGACCACCAGCUAAGGUCCCAAAAUAUAUGUUAAGUGGAAAAGGAUGUGGCGUUGCCCAGACAACUAGGAUGUUGGCUUAGAAGCAGCCAUCAUUUAAAGAGUGCGUAAUAGCUCACUAGUCGAGUGACACUGCGCCGAAAAUGUACCGGGGCUAAACAUAUUACCGAAGCUGUGGAUUGUCCUUUGGACAAUGGUAGGAGAGCGUUCUAAGGGCGUUGAAGCAUGAUCGUAAGGACAUGUGGAGCGCUUAGAAGUGAGAAUGCCGGUGUGAGUAGCGAAAGACGGGUGAGAAUCCCGUCCACCGAUUGACUAAGGUUUCCAGAGGAAGGCUCGUCCGCUCUGGGUUAGUCGGGUCCUAAGCUGAGGCCGACAGGCGUAGGCGAUGGAUAACAGGUUGAUAUUCCUGUACCACCUAUAAUCGUUUUAAUCGAUGGGGGGGACGCAGUAGGAUAGGCGAAGCGUGCGAUUGGAUUGCACGUCUAAGCAGUAAGGCUGAGUAUUAGGCAAAUCCGGUACUCGUUAAGGCUGAGCUGUGAUGGGGAGAAGACAUUGUGUCUUCGAGUCGUUGAUUUCACACUGCCGAGAAAAGUCUCUAGAUAGAAAAUAGGUGCCCGUACCGCAAACCGACACAGGUAGUCAAGAUGAGAAUUCUAAGGUGAGCGAGCGAACUCUCGUUAAGGAACUCGGCAAAAUGACCCCGUAACUUCGGGAGAAGGGGUGCUCUUUAGGGUUAACGCCCAGAAGAGCCGCAGUGAAUAGGCCCAAGCGACUGUUUAUCAAAAACACAGGUCUCUGCUAAACCGUAAGGUGAUGUAUAGGGGCUGACGCCUGCCCGGUGCUGGAAGGUUAAGAGGAGUGGUUAGCUUCUGCGAAGCUACGAAUCGAAGCCCCAGUAAACGGCGGCCGUAACUAUAACGGUCCUAAGGUAGCGAAAUUCCUUGUCGGGUAAGUUCCGACCCGCACGAAAGGCGUAACGAUUUGGGCACUGUCUCAACGAGAGACUCGGUGAAAUCAUAGUACCUGUGAAGAUGCAGGUUACCCGCGACAGGACGGAAAGACCCCGUGGAGCUUUACUGUAGCCUGAUAUUGAAAUUCGGCACAGCUUGUACAGGAUAGGUAGGAGCCUUUGAAACGUGAGCGCU
rnacentral:rRNA from 1 species